rnacentral:tRNA from 1 species
UGUCCAGGGAUUGGGAAUCGAACCCACAAUGUUCCGUUUACCGGGCAGAUGCAAUGUCCACUAGGCUACCCUGGAC